rnacentral:rRNA from 1 species
GCCCUUUCGGGGGUACACGAGCGGCGAACGGGUGAGUAACACGUGGGUGACCUGCCCUCCACUCUGGGAUAAGCCUGGGAAACUGGGUCUAAUACCGGAUAAGACACGUUGAUGCAUGUCUUCGUGUGGAAAGUUUUUUCGGUGGGGGAUGGGCCCGCGGCCUAUCAGCUUGUUGGUGGGGUGAUGGCCUACCAAGGCGGUGACGGGUAGCCGGCCUGAGAGGGCGACCGGCCACACUGGGACUGAGACACGGCCCAGACUCCUACGGGAGGCAGCAGUGGGGAAUAUUGCGCAAUGGGCGGAAGCCUGACGCAGCGACGCCGCGUGGGGGAUGACGGCCUUCGGGUUGUAAACCUCUUUCGCCAGGGACGAAGCUUUUGUGACGGUACCUGGAGAAGAAGCACCGGCCAACUACGUGCCAGCAGCCGCGGUAACACGUAGGGUGCGAGCGUUGUCCGGAAUUAUUGGGCGUAAAGAGCUCGUAGGCGGUGUGUCGCGUCGGCCGUGAAAACUUGGGGCUUAACUCUGAGCGUGCGGUCGAUACGGGCAUCACUUGAGUUCGGCAGGGGAGACUGGAAUUCCUGGUGUAGCGGUGAAAUGCGCAAAUAUCACGAGGAACACCGGUGGCGAAGGCGGGUCUCUGGGCCGAUACUGACGCUGAGGAGCGAAAGC